rnacentral:ncRNA from 1 species
ACCCCUGUGAGAAUGCCCUUUACCUCCAACAGGAAAAAAGGAGCAGGCAUCAGGCACACAACAGUAGCCCAAGACGCCUUGCUUAGCCACACCCCCAAGGGAAAUCAGCAGUGACAAACAUUAAGCAAUAAGCGAAAGCUUGACUUAGUUAGGGUUAAAAGGGCCGGUAAAACUCGUGCCAGCAACCGCGGUUAUACGAGGGGCCCAAAUUGACGCAUCACGGCGUAAAGUGUGAUUAGAGACACUCUUAAACUAGAGCCAAAUACCCCUUAUGCAGUCAUACGCCAUGGGGGUCAAGAAGCCCAACAACGAAAGUGGUUCUAUAAAUCUUGAACUCACGACAGCUAGGAUACAAACUGGGAUUAGAUACCCCACUAUGCCCAGCCUUAAACCAAGGCGAUAGUGAUACAAACUUCGCCCGCCAGGGAACUACGAGCCUCAGCUUAAAACCCAAAGGACUUGGCGGUGCCUCAAACCCACCUAGAGGAGCCUGUCCUAUAACCGAUAAUCCCCGUUAAACCUCACCCUCUCUUGUCAUUUCCGCCUAUAUACCGCCGUCGCCAGUUUACCCUUUGAGGGGAUCACAGUAAGCAAAACGGGCAACACCCAGCACGUCAGGUCGAGGUGUAGCGAAUGAGAGGGAAAGAGAUGGGCUACAUUUUCUGGCAACAGAAUACCACGAAAAGCGUAAUGAAAUAAUACGGAAUCGAAGGUGGAUUUAGCAGUAAAAAGAAAAAAGAGAGUUCUUUUGAAACCGGCCCUGAGGCGCGUACACACCGCCCGUCACUCUCCUCGGAUAAAAAACGACAAUACAUAAAAAUAUUAAGAAAAAGAGAGGAGGCAAGUCGUAACAUGGUAAGUGUACCGGAAGGUGUACUUGGAAAAAU